rnacentral:lncRNA from 1 species
AUGCUGAAGCCUAUGAAGGAGGCUGGAAAUGGCAGGGAAGCCACAGCUUUGUUCUCAUUUAAACCUGAAUGGCCAUUGACUUCUUUUGAAAAAGAAAAAAAUGAUGCAGGGGGAAGCUGGCAGUUCCUCAGGAAACAUACAUUAUUGAGAAGGGAGUUUCGGCACAAUAUGCAAAAGCGUCUCCUGUGAUCGCUGUACACACUGGAGGUGUGCUUUCCUCAAGCCCACGAAGGACUGUGCUCUCUAGUCUUCCCUCUCUCUGUUUUUUCCCGAGUACUACUGUGUCAUUUAAGUUCAUUUAUUUUUGUCUUAUCUUCUCCCUUUGAACUUGAAACCUUGUCCUGUUCUUGUUCCAUAGUCUGAUGCCUGCUGCUUUGUUCCUUCACCUUUGUCUUCACAAAGUCUUAGGCUAGCCUUCUCUAUUUCUCAACUUUGUCAUGCCCCUGACAUUGCAAGACUCUCUUUCCUGGCAACCACUGUCUACAGACAAAAUAUUAAUAACUUGGGAGGAGUUAGGACAGAAACACUAAAAUUAUUAUAAAUAAAACCAGAUAGUCCUUAUGACUGGGGCCUGGACUACCGCUUGUCUUCUUAUGAGUAUCUUUUGAAAGGCUGUCCUCACACGCAUUAACUUGAGGAUUUACAGUAAUGUUCUUUUGGGCUGAAGCGAAAAGGAGACAG